UGGUGGAGUGAUUUGUCUGGUUAAUUCCGAUAACGAACGAGACCUUAACCUGCUAAAUAGCCAGGCCGGCUUUUGCUGGUCACCGGCUUCUUAGAGGGACUGUCAGUGUCUAACUGACGGAAGUUUGAGGCAAUAACA
rnacentral:rRNA from 1 species